GACGAACCGUGCGAACGUUGUUCGGAAUCACUGGGCUUAAAGGGCGCGUAGGCGGUGCGGUAAGUCUGCGGUGAAAUCUCCCGGCUCAACUGGGAGUCUGCCGUGGAAACUGCCGUGCUUGAGUGUGGGAGAGGUGAGUGGAACUGCGAGUGUAGAGGUGAAAUUCGUAGAUAUUCGCAAGAACACCAGUGGCGAAGGCGGCUCACUGGCCCGAUACUGACGCUGAGGCACGAAAGCGUGGGGAGCAAACAGG
rnacentral:rRNA from 1 species